rnacentral:rRNA from 1 species
UGGCUAGGUAAGUCCCUUGCUAAAUCCACCGAAUUAAUCGUUGGAUCGCGGGGGAUACUGCUUGGCUAGGGGACGAGAGAGGCAGACGGUAUUUUCGGGGUAGGGGUGAAAUCCUAUAAUCCCGGGAAGACCACCAGUGGCGAAGGCUGUCUGCUAGAACGCGCCCGACGGUGAGGGAUGAAAGCUGGGGGAGCGAACCGGAUUAGAUACCCGGGUAGUCCCAGCUGUAAACGAUGCAGACUAGGUGUUUGGACGGCCACGUGCCGUUCUAGUGCCGCAGGGAAGCUGUUAAGUCUGCCGCCUGGGGAGUACGAUCGCAAGAUUGAAACUUAAAGGAAUUGGCGGGGGAGCACCACAAGGGGUGAAGCUUGCGGUUUAAUUGGAGUCAACGCCGGAAAUCUCACCGGGAGCGACAGCAGUAUGAAAGCCAGAUUGAAGGUCUUGCUAGACGAGCUGAGAGGAGGCGCAUGGCCGUCGCCAGUUCGUGCCGUGAGGUGUCCUGUUAAGUCAGGCAACGAUCGAGACCCGCGUCCUCUGUUGCAACCAGCUUUGAGCUGGGCACACUGAGGAGACCGCCACUGAUAAAGUGGAGGAAGGAGCGGGCCACGGCAGGUCCGCAUG